rnacentral:rRNA from 1 species
CAGUAGCCACGGUAAUACAGAGGGUGCGAGCGUUAAUCGGAUUUUCUGGGCGUAAAGCGUGCGUAGGCGGCUAAUUGAGUCGGAUGUGAAAUCCCUGAGCUUAACUUAGGAAUUGCAUUCGAUACUGGGAAGCUAGAGUAUGGGAGAGGAUGGUAGAAUUCCAGGUGUAGCGGUGAAAUGCGUAGAGAUCUGGAGGAAUACCGAUGGCGAAGGCAGCCAUCUGGCCUAAUACUGACGCUGAGGUACGAAAGCAUGGGGAGCAAACAGGAUUAGAUACCCCUGUAGUCCCUGUCUCUUAUAC